UGGGGAAUAUUGGACAAUGGGCGAAAGCCUGAUCCAGCAAUGCCGCGUGUAUGAUGAAGGCCUGCGGGUUGUAAAGUACUUUCGUUGGGGAAGAAAUGCUCAAAGCUAAUAUCUUUGAGAGUUGACGUUACCCAAAGAAGAAGCACCGGCUAACUCUGUGCCAGCAGCCGCGGUAAUACAGAGGGUGCAAGCGUUAAUCGGAGUUACUGGGCGUAAAGGGCGCGUAGGCGGGCUCUUAAGUCGGAUGUGAAAUCCCCGGGCUUAACCUGGGAAUUGCAUUCGAUACUGGGAGCCUAGAGUAUGGUAGAGGAAAGCGGAAUUCCCGGUGUAGCGGUGAAAUGCGUAGAUAUCGGGAAGAACAUCAGGGCGAAGGCGGCUUUCUGGCCCAAUACUGACGCUGAGGCGCGAAAGCGUGGGGAGCAAACAGG
rnacentral:rRNA from 1 species